UUGAAGUUUCUUUUGCAGCCAACGGAGUUGUUUGCUCAUUUUGCUAAAGGUGACCAUUCAACAACACAAAGGAAGGUGAAGGAAAGGUGCAUCAUGCAUCAAAAAUAACUGAAGAGGAAGAAGAUGAAGAGUGCCUCAAGGAGGAAGAAGUUGGUUUGUCUGGAAACACUCGAUUGGUGACUCAGCCUUCUUGUAAGUUCUCUCAUUCUCUCUCCAAACACCCUAUGAACACUUUUCCAAACUGUCCGACCAUAACAACACAAGAAAAACAGAUAAUCCUACAUUCUGCUUUCUCAGUACAAAGAAUACAGGGAGUAGUGUCUGAUAUACUCGACGAGUAGAACCUGGAAAGGGUACUUAGUCGAUUCAAAAUGGCCAUCCAAACUAUCAAUGAGAAUUUUGAUAGCUUUAUACGUGUUUUUUAUUUUUUUUAGUGGAGCCUGGAAAGGGUGCUCAGUUCAAGUGGUUUCGUUUAUCUUUUAUAUGCUCUUUACUUUUUUCUUUUUCCUUUCCAGGUAUUUAGGGAAAGAUGAGGGACUACCAACUUGCUGUUGUAAACUGGCUUGUACGACUGUAUGAGAAUGGUAUAAAUGGAAUUCUUGCAGACAAAAGGGGACUGGGUAAAACUUUGCAAACUAUCUCCUCAUUGGGCUAUCUGCAUGAGUACCGAUGAAUUAUUGGCCCUCAUUGGGUUGUGGCUCCAAAAUCAGCUCGGGAUAACUGGAUGAAUGAAAUACGUUGAUUUCGCCUAGUCUUGCGAUCUGUAAAGUUUCUUGUUAAUCUCGAGGAAAGAAGAUACAUCUGUGAGGAAUUACUAGUUGCUGGGAAGUUUGAAGUUUCGAAAUGGCCAUCAAGGAGAUGUCUGCCAUGCAUCGUUUUAGUGGGCGCUAUAUACAACUUUGUGGAAGGUGCACAGUUUUAGUCUGCCAUGCUUCCAAGUUGGUUUUCAACAUUUGGGAGGCACCAUUGGGAAAUUCCAUGGAAAGUCCACCAAGCUUUCCUUCGCAUAAAGCAAGUGAAAAUUUGUUAAUUGAUUCAACUUUUAGUAGCCUUUGUUGAAAAUUUGUUCCUUGUGUUUCUCAUGUUAAGUUAAUAAAUUGGCGCAAAGCUAUAUAUCCUCCAAAGAAAAAGGGGCAAUGUCAGUGCAUGAACCGAAGCAAGUGAAAUUGUAAUUGUAAAAAUUUUAGAGAUAUUCAGGAUUUUUUUUAUUUUUUAUUUUUAGGAAGUGUCUAUAAACAUCCAAUUUCAAAGGUGGAUCCGCCCACGGAAAAAGGUGUUAUGACCCUCAAUGGGUAGCCAAGAGGCCUAGGUUUCGCAAGCGCUUGUGUGCAUUCUUGUCGGGCCUACUUGUCGGGAUCAAAAGACACGAGGAACCACAUGCAAACCGAAGCCAUUAAAACUCAGAAAUUAUGUGGAAAAGUUAGGUCAAGAUUCAUAUUCACUUUAGUCUAUUUUGAUACAAAAUCAGGAAACUUAAAAUUAUAUAAUAGAUGCUAGUAUUUUUUUUUUUGGGUGUUUGUAGCUGAGGCCCUCACUAGUCUUAGUCAAACAUCUAACACGCCGAAAACAACAUUGAUCAUAUGGUGCUGAAGUUGAUGUCCGCGGUUGACGUAGAGCUAGCAGCUGGAGACUCAUAACAUAUAUCCGUAUGCUUUACUUUUUUUCUUUAUUUUGAAUAUCAUGUUUAUAUAAUUAAAGUUAGGUAUAUAUUUAUCUUCAUUCCUCCUAUGUCUGGUUAUCACCAAAACGAAUCAUGUGUAUGUUUAAUUUUGAGUACAUUUUUUAUAUAUGUAUAAAGUUCUUACUAUGUUAUGAUUAAUUAUUUAAGGAUUAAGUUUAUCUAUCUAUCUUGACAUAUCUUGAGUUUAAAACACAAAAAGACUAGCAACAAAGCAUAAUAGAAGGGUAAAGAGAAGUGGAAGAAAAAUUCCAAACCAUUAACAACUUACCACGGAAACUAAUCUCGUAAUUCAAUAAAGCACACAAGCUUAACUUCGUCUCGUUCUAAUGUUUAAUCUUCUCAAGAUAAGAGAAGAAAGUGGAAAACUAAUCUCGUGAGUUUUUCAA